AGAUUGUAGGCUGAAACUCGCCUAUAUGAAGUCGGAAUUGCUAGUAAUCGCGGAUCAGCAUGCCGCGGUGAAUACGUUCCCGGGCCUUGUACACACCGCCCGUCACACCAUGAGAGUCGAUAACACCCGAAGCCUGUAGUCUAACCUUAGGGGGGACGCAGUCGAAGGUGGGAUUGAUAAUUAGGGUGAAGUCGUAACAAGGUAUC
rnacentral:rRNA from 1 species